rnacentral:rRNA from 1 species
AACGAACGCUGGCGGCAUGCCUAACACAUGCAAGUCGAACGAGACCUUCGGGUCUAGUGGCGCACGGGUGCGUAACGCGUGGGAACCUGCCCUUAGGUUCGGAAUAACUCCCCGAAAGGGGUGCUAAUACCGGAUAAUGUCUUCGGACCAAAGAUUUAUCGCCUUUGGAUGGGCCCGCGUUGGAUUAGCUAGUUGGUAGGGUAAAAGCCUACCAAGGCGACGAUCCAUAGCUGGUCUGAGAGGAUGAUCAGCCACACUGGGACUGAGACACGGCCCAGACCCCGACGGGAGGCAGAGGGGGGGAAUAGUGGAAAAGGGGCGAAACCCUGACCCAGCAAUGCCGGGGGAGUGAUGAGGGCCUUGGGGUUGAAAAGCUUUUUUCCCGGGGAGAAUAAGGACAGACCGGGAAAAAAAAGCCCCGGCAACCCCCGUC